rnacentral:rRNA from 1 species
AGUGAACGCUGGCGGUAUGCCUAACACAUGCAAGUCGAGCGGCAGCACAAUAAGAUCGUUCCCUUGCGGUUGGCGACGGGCGGACGGGUAAGGAGUAGAUCGCAAUCUACUUUUUCUUGGAGGAUAACGUAGGGAAACUGACGCUACUACCUCAUACUAUGUACGGGAGAAAUCAAGAGUUCUUCAGACCUUUCCCGAUUCAAUGAGCCGGUGUCGGAUUAGCUAGUUGGUGAGGUAACGGCACACCAAGGCAACGAUGCAUAGCUGGUCUGAGAGGAUGAUCGGCCACACUGGAACUGAGACACGGUCCAGACUCCUACGGGAGGCAGCAGUAGGGAAUAUUCGGCAAUGGGCGAAAGCCUGAUCCAGCAAUGCCGCGUGAGUGAUGAAGGUCUUCGGAUCGUAAAGCCCUUUUAUUGGGGAAGAACAUAAGUGUAAGAAUCUGCGCACAUCUUGACGGUACCUAAUCAAUAAGCCACGGCUAACUACGUG